AUUGAACGCUGGCGGCAUGCCUUACACAUGCAAGUCGAACGGCGGCACGGGAGCAAUCCUGGUGGCGAGUGGCGAACGGGUGAGUAAUAUAUCGGAACGUGCCCAGUCGUGGGGGAUAACGUAGCGAAAGCUACGCUAAUACCGCAUACGAUCUAUGGAUGAAANCGGGGGAUCGCAAGACCUCGCGCGAUUGGAGCGGCCGAUAUCAGAUUAGGUAGUUGGUGAGGUAAAGGCUCACCAAGCCGACGAUCUGUAGCUGGUCUGAGAGGACGACCAGCCACACUGGGACUGAGACACGGCCCAGACUCCUACGGGAGGCAGCAGUGGGAAUUUUGGACAAUGGGCGCAAGCCUGAUCCAGCAAUGCCGCGUGCAGGAUGAAGGCCU
rnacentral:rRNA from 1 species